rnacentral:rRNA from 1 species
UGGAGGAAAAGAAAACCAACCGGGAUUGCCUUAGUAACGGCGAGUGAAGCGGCAAAAGCUCAAAUUUGAAAUCUGGUACCUUCGGUGCCCGAGUUGUAAUUUGGAGAGGGCAACUUUGGGGCCGUUCCUUGUCUAUGUUCCUUGGAACAGGACGUCAUAGAGGGUGAGAAUCCCGUGUGGCGAGGAGUGCGGUUCUUUGUAAAGUGCCUUCGAAGAGUCGAGUUGUUUGGGAAUGCAGCUCUAAGUGGGUGGUAAAUUCCAUCUAAAGCUAAAUAUUGGCGAGAGACCGAUAGCGAACAAGUACAGUGAUGGAAAGAUGAAAAGAACUUUGAAAAGAGAGUGAAAAAGUACGUGAAAUUGUUGAAAGGGAAGGGCAUUUGAUCAGACAUGGUGUUUUGUGCCCUCUGCUCCUUGUGGGUAGGGGAAUCUCGCAUUUCACUGGGCCAGCAUCAGUUUUGGUGGCAGGAUAAAUCCAUAGGAAUGUAGCUUGCCUCGGUAAGUAUUAUAGCCUGUGGGAAUACUGCCAGCUGGGACUGAGGACUGCGACGUAAGUCAAGGAUGCUGGCA